CGGACCACCAAGGCGACGAUCAGUAGCCGGCUUGAGAGAGUGAACGGCCACAUUGGGACUGAGACACGGCCCAAACUCCUACGGGAGGCAGCAGUGGGGAAUAUUGCACAAUGGGGGAAACCCUGAUGCAGCAACGCCGCGUGAGUGAAGAAGUAUUUCGGUAUGUAAAGCUCUAUCAGCAGGGAAGAAAAUGACGGUACCUGACUAAGAAGCCCCGGCUAACUACGUGCCAGCAGCCGCGGUAAUACGUAGGGGGCAAGCGUUAUCCGGAUUUACUGGGUGUAAAGGGAGCGCAGGCGGUCUGUCAAGUCUGAUGUGAAAUCCCGGGGCUCAACCCUGGAACUGCAUUGGAAACUGUCAGACUAGAGUGCCGGAGAGGUAAGUGGAAUUCCUAGUGUAGCGGUGAAAUGCGUAGAUAUUAGGAGGAACACCAGUGGCGAAGGCGGCUUACUGGACGGUAACUGACGCUGAGGCUCGAAAGCGUGGGGAGCAAACAGGAUUAGAUACCCUGGUAGUCCACGCCGUAAAC
rnacentral:rRNA from 1 species